AAAGACUAAACUUAAAUGUCAAAGAUAAAUAUAAAAUAUCAGAUAAAAUUUUUAUAAAUAGAUCAAUUAUGAAAUAAAUUAUAAUUAGACCGUCACCAUCUACCAUAUCUUUGAAAUACACUGCAUAUAUAUAAAAUAUUAAUAAAAUAAAAAUAAAUAAAUUUUAAAAAUAUUUAAAUAAUUUUAACAAACACCACAUAAUCCUUUAC
rnacentral:lncRNA from 1 species